ensembl:lincRNA 4930448I06Rik RIKEN cDNA 4930448I06 gene
GUUGAGGAAGUUGUCUCCUAUACCAAGGGGUUCAAGGCUAUUUGCCCCUUUCUGUUAUAGUAGGUUUAGAGUAUCUGGCUUUCCAUUUAGGUCUUUGAUCCAUUUACUUGAGUUUUGUGAAGAGUGAUAGAUAUGGAUCUAUUUGUAUUCUACAUGCAGAAAUCCGGUUAGACCAGCACCAUUUGUUGGAGAUACUUUCUUUAUUUCAUUGUAUGGUUUUGGCUUCUUUGUCAAAGAUCAAAUAGCCAUAGCUAAAACCUGAACUCUUGGUCAAAGUUUGCCAUAGCAAAGGCCUGGCUGGACCGUGCUGCCGGACAGGACAGAAGGCACUGGUUUGCUGGGAGUUGCCCUCUUCCCUUCAUCAACAGACUUACUCCAUCAUGCAGCCAUGUGAGGCUGGCGUGGCUUGCCUUUCACAUUUCCUGCCUUCUCUGGUGAUAGGGGAUUUGUUGACAUUUUUCUACAAACCCUAUUGCUAUUAUGAAUCAGAAACAGAUUUCAAGCUCCAGCACUCUCAGAGUUAAGCUGCAUUGAAAAGGAGGG